AGCUGCAGUCGAGAUCUUUCGCAUGGGCGAAGCCUGACGAAGCGACGCUGCGUGAGUGAUGAAGGCUUUCGGGUUGUAAAACUCUUUCGCGCGGAGCAAAGUGGAUUAGUGAAUAACUGAUUCAUGUGAGAGUACUGGGAAAAGAAGCACCGGCUAACUC
rnacentral:rRNA from 1 species